rnacentral:lncRNA from 1 species
GCCCAUGCUGGCAUCACGCACUGUGUGCUUGCGUGCAUGCGCGAAUAGGCACAAAAUGUGCCCACUGUGCGCACAUCCCAUCCGCAUGGGUCGCGGGGCCUGUCCUACGCAUGCGCCUUGUCAUACGCAGGUAGGCCAGUCCGCUAACAUCACAUCGCACAUGAACAGAGCUUGGCGCUACGCAUUGUGCAUGCGUCAUCAGCACAGUAGGCCUAAGUGGAUAGGCUUGUGCGCCUGGGGGCUACGCGUUACAGGCCUUGCGCAUACACAGGCU